UGAGAUAAAGCCAAUACGGCAGGUGUUCACGUAAAACACAUUGACUUUAAUGUCCCUAUCUACUAUCUAGCGAGACCACAUCCAAGGGAACGGGCUUGGAAUAAUUAGCGGGGAAAGAAGACCCUUUUGAGCUUGACUCUAAUCUGGCAGUGUAAGGAGACAUAAGAGGUGUAGCAUAAGUGGGAGAUAUUAGAUUUCGGUUUGGUAUCGACAAUGAAAUACCACUACUCUUAUUGUUUCCUUACUUACUUGAUUAAAUGGAACGUGUAUCAUUUCCUAGCCAUUAUACGGAUAUAUUUAUUAUAUCUUAUGGUAUUGGGUUUUGAUGCAAGCUUCUUGAUCAAAGUAUCACGAGUUUGUUAUAUAAUCGCAAACAAAUUCUUUAAUGAGAAAAUGCAUUUAUGUAUUUUCAAUUUGAAAAUUUGGUAUAACUCCAAUUACUCAGGUAUGAUCCAAUUCAAGGACAUUGCCAGGUAGGGAGUUUGACUGGGGCGGUACAUCUCUCAAAUAAUAACGGAGGUGUCCCAAGGCCAGCUCAGUGCGGACAGAAACCACACAUAGAGCAAAAGGGCAAAUGCUGACUUGAUCUCGGUGUUCAGUACACACAGGGACAGCAAAAGCUCGGCCUAUCGAUCCUUUUGGUUUAAAGAGUUUUUAACAAGAGGUGUCAGAAAAGUUACCAUAGGGAUAACUGGCUUGUGGCGGCCAAGCGUUCAUAGCGACGUGGCUUUUUGAUCCUUCGAUGUCGGCUCUUCCUAUCAUUUGUGAAGCAAAAUUCACCAAGCGUUGGAUUGUUCACCCCAUGCAAAGGAAACGUGGAGCUGGGUUUAGACGGUCGUGAGACAGGUUAGUUUUACCCUACUAAUGACAAAA
rnacentral:ncRNA from 1 species